rnacentral:rRNA from 1 species
AGAGUUUGAUCAUGGCUCAGGAUGAACGCGGGCGGUGUGCUUAAGCAUGCAAGUCGAACGGUAAAUUGCUUUCGGGCAAUACGAGUGGCAGACGGGUGAGUAAUAUAUAGGAAUCUACCUUCUAGUGGGGAAUAGCUUCGCGAAAGCGGAGAUAAUACCGCAUGUGGACGUAAGUCCAAAGCCUUCGGGCGCUGGAAGAGGAGCCUGUAUCCUAUCAGGUUGUUGGUGAGGUAAUGGCUCACCAAGCCGAUGACGGGUAGCCGGUAUGAGAGUACGACCGGCCACAAGGUUACUGAGAUACGGAACCUACACCUACGGGUGGCAGCAACUGGGAAUCUUGCGCAAUGGACGAAAGUCUGACGCAGCGACACCGCGUGUGAGAAGACGCUUUUCGGAGUGUAAAUCACUGUGGCAGGGGAACAAUCAAUGAGGGUACCCUGCUAGAAAGCACCUGCUAACUACGUGCCAGAAGCCUCGGUAAUACGUAGGGUGCAAGCGUUAUCCGGAUUUACUGGGCGUAAAGCGUACCGUCGGCGUCUUGUUAAGUCUUUAGUUUAAACCCAGGGCUCAACUCUGGAAAAGCUAAGGAUACUGGCAGGAUUGAGUCUAUUAGGGGGAGCUGGAAUUCUCGGUGGAGGGGUGAAAUCCGUAGAUAUCGAGAGGAACACCAUUCGCGAAGGCGGGCUCCUGGAAUAUGACUGACGCUCAGGGACGAAAGCUUGGGUAGCAAAAGGGAUUAGAGACCCCUGUAGUCCAAGCCGUAAACAUUCCUUGCUAGUUGCUUGUUCCACUUAGCAUAUUUUCACGGUCAGAACCGUCUAAAUCUGAUCGUUUAAGUAGGUUAAGUGGAAUGAGUGACGUAAGCUAACGCGUUAAGCAAGGCGCCUGGGGACUACGACCGCAAGGUUAAAACUCAAAUGAAUUGACGG